UUCCAAAGUGCUGAGUUCAGUUCAGGCAGCUUUCUGAUCUGUUGAUUAAACUUUGGAACAUUGAAAUGGGCUUGUACUGUAUAAGAGAGUAUUAUUCUAUUCAUUUAGCUCCCAGCCUAUAAAA
ensembl:snoRNA